GCAUUGGUGGUUCAAUGGUAGAAUUCUCACCUUCCAUGUGGGAGAUCUGGCUUUAAUUCAGGCCAAUGCA
rnacentral:tRNA from 1 species